rnacentral:lncRNA from 1 species
UGAGGAGUUAGGAGAAGGUGGGAGCCAACUGAAGGGAAAGCUGCAGGGAGAGGGAGGUGUGCACCCUGAAUGAAUGAAGAUCUUUUUCCUCUCUUUUCCUCAAGGCUCACAGCAUGGCCCCUAUUUUCUUCUAACCAUUACAUUCCUAAAUCCAAGGGGGGGAUGGGCCAUGUAAAGUGAAAUGCUUUGUGGACUUUUUUAUUUUUAAACCUUACCUAAAUCUGGUGCUUCUCCAGCUUCAACCACCCCCUGGCUGAGCUGCGCGCCCGCGCAAGGAGGCGCGCGCGCACACGCGCACACACACACACACACACACACACACACACACACACGCUUGCACAUACAUACACACACACACACCAUGCACGCACGAGCGCGCAUCUGUACCUUCAAGUCUUGUCUGCUUGCAUACUGGCUGUUUAUGUUGGUUUCAUCUUCCUAAAGUUUUAAACCUAUUCAAAAUGACUGGCUUCUUAUUCCGAGGAGGCUUCGUGCAACCUCUGAGAGAAGAAAAGGUUUUUGAUGUUCAGUAAUAGGAGAGUUGUGGAAUGAGACGAGCAGGGAUUUUCUGUGUGCGGUUUGUUGUGCGUGCACGUGUGUGUGUGUGUGUGUGUGUGUGUGUGUGUUUUCCUCUACACUGAGAGGAGGGGGGAAAAAAUUACUCAAAUCCUGUUAAGAAGCAGGAAGGAAUCAUUUGCAGUAAAGCUCUGUAGCAUGUACCUGACAUGAUUUUCCUCUUUUUCAUGGGCUCUUCAGAGCAGGGAUUUAUAAGCUAUGUAGGAGCUCCUGGACCACGGCUUUCCCCAACACCUGGAAAUUAUCAAGCUUGCUGCUUGCUGAAUGAUGCUAACAGCUCUAAUGCUGCAAAUUCAUUUUUAACAACUCACUGGCUUUUAUCUAGGACUUGUGUGUAUGUGUGUGUCUUUCUUUAAGAGAAAACUACUAAAGCAACUGAAAAUAUCAAAGACACAAAAAUCAAAUCUGACUUGAAUGUGUUACAUCUCUGAACCCAUUCCCAUUAUGCAUAUGUAGAUAGAUACAUUUCCCUGUUC